rnacentral:sRNA from 1 species
UUAAGAACCAGAAUGCUUUAUUAACCCACAGAACAAUUUGAGCACAGGCAGUAGGAGUGCAAGUUCCCCUACAUUACCCCACCAAUGUUCCUCAACACUAACUUGGAGUGAUUACUGUUAGAAAUGAGAGACUAGAUUAGUCAAUGUCGCCU